rnacentral:rRNA from 1 species
UACGGGGGGGCAAGCGUUGUUCGGAAUUACUGGGCGUAAAGGCUCGUAGGCGGCCAACUAAGUCGGAUGUGAAAUCCCCAGGCUCAACCCCGGAAUGGCUUUCGAAACUGCUGAGCUAGAGUACAGAAGGGGCAACCGGAAUUCCCGAGUGUAGCGGUGAAAUGCGUAGAUAUUGGGAAGAACACCUGAGGCGAAGGCGGGUUGCUGGGCUGAUGACUGACGCUGAGGCGCGAAGCCAGGGAGCAAACGGG